GACGAACGCCGGCGGCGUGCCUAAUACAUGCAAGUCGAACGCUUCCUACCGGUGCUUGCACCGGGAAAGAAGAGUGGCGGACGGGUGAGUAACACGUGGGUAACCUACCUACAAGCGGGGGAUAACAUUCGGAAACGGAUGCUAAUACCGCAUAGAUCUUUUUGUCUCCUGGCAGAAAGAAGAAAGACGGUUUCGGCUGUCACUUGUAGAUGGACCCGCGGCGCAUUAGUUAGUUGGUGAUGUAAUGGCUCACCAAGACGAUGAUGCGUAGCCGACCUGAGAGGGUGAUCGGCCACACUGGGACUGAGACACGGCCCAGACUCCUACGGGAGGCAGCAGUAGGGAAUCUUCCGCAAUGGACGAAAGUCUGAUGGAGCAACGCCGCGUGAGUGAAGAAGGUUUUCGGAUCGUAAAACUCUGUUGUUAGAGAAGAACAAGGAUGAGAGUAACUGCUCGUCCCUUGACGGUAUCUAACCAGAAAGCCAUGGCUAACUACGUGCCAGCAGCCGCAGUAA
rnacentral:rRNA from 1 species